CGGCAGGCCUAACACAUGCAAGUCGAGGGGCAUCGGGAUUGAAGCUUGCUUCAAUUGCCGGCGACCGGCGCACGGGUGCGUAACGCGUAUGUAACCUACCUAUAACAGGGGCAUAACACUGAGAAAUUGGUACUAAUUCCCCAUAAUAUUCGGAGAGGCAUCUCUCCGGGUUGAAAACUCCGGUGGUUAUAGAUGGACAUGCGUUGUAUUAGCUAGUUGGUGAGGUAACGGCUCACCAAGGCAACGAUACAUAGGGGGACUGAGAGGUUAACCCCCCACACUGGUACUGAGACACGGACCAGACUCCUACGGGAGGCAGCAGUGAGGAAUAUUGGUCAAUGGACGCAAGUCUGAACCAGCCAUGCCGCGUGCAGGAAGACGGCUCUAUGAGUUGUAAACUGCUUUUGUACGAGGGUAAACUCACCUACGUGUAGGUGACUGAAAGUAUCGUACGAAUAAGGAUCGGCUAACUCCGUGCCAGCAGCCGCGGUAAUACGGAGGAUUCAAGCGUUAUCCGGAUUUAUUGGGUUUAAAGGGUGCGUAGGCGGUUUGAUAAGUUAGAGGUGAAAUCCCGGGGCUCAACUCCGGAACUGCCUCUAAUACUGUUAGACUAGAGAGUAGUUGCGGUAGGCGGAAUGUAUGGUGUAGCGGUGAAAUGCUUAGAGAUCAUACAGAACACCGAUUGCGAAGGCAGCUUACCAAACUAUAUCUGACGUUGAGGCACGAA
rnacentral:rRNA from 1 species